UUAAAAUAGUAUAUUUUUUGGUGAAAAGACAGCAGUGAAGCUGUGAGCUGCGAAAUCGAGGUAGAAAGUCGUCGUCGAACAAUAAGUGGAAUUGUCACGGCCGUCGGUAAACAAUGGAGAACAGUGCGUUGUUUGAAUUGUAUUUUUAAUUGCACCUCUGGUGCGUGACUAUAAAACGAGGCCCCUUAUCGACGAAAACGCGACAUCCGGACACGUGGUUGCGUUUCGAAAGAAUCAUUCGAAUGCAAAUGCGACCCGUACACAGCCUGGUCUGUCGCAAGUGAAAGCCUCGAUGAUCGAGUGGCGGCGUCUGAGGACAGGUUUCGGUGAAGCUGAACGGUCUGGGAAUGUAUCACAAUGGAUUUACUGGGCCCUGGACCUUCGAGAUGGGUGCCACGAGGCUUUAUUCACGGAACCAAGGAAGGUCGGACCCUUCUUCUCGAGGUUUCGGGCUCGCUGGGAAUGCAAGAUAAAAACCAAAACCACCGAACAUCCUCCACGAACCACUUCCUCGUUCUACAGUUUCAAGCGACGUACGAUGGAAACACUUUAGAUUCUUUGUUUCUUCUCCGUUGCGAGCAGCCCGCGGCGAUCAGAAACGUUGCAGUUGGAACAAAAAGGAAACGCAAUUUAACCAGUCUCUUGUUUUCGAUUUUGCCCUUUCCUUUGACUGCAAACAAAUGUAUUCCAGGAACCGUCGAGUAUCCCCUGUGAUUCUAUUAUUAGUUCGUCAUUGGUUCCGUGUCGGACACGUUGGAAUAAUAAUUGCUUGAACGUGGUGGAAUUUCUGAUUUAUAAUCCUCCUUCCGGACUUCGUUAACCCUGAUAUUUCAUUGCGUAUCCGGAGGUGGAUCGAGGUGGAAUGAACUUGGAGGUUUCCUCGAUACUGGUGAUCGGGUAUUAGCUACAGUGGGUGUAGAAAGUAAUUUAUUAAUUUAUUUUUUAUAAACAAUGACAUUCUACAUGAUCUAGGAAAUCUCUAGAAUAGAUAGAUUACAACAAAAAAAUAGCUAUUUAUGUAAGUUGCGAAAUUAACAAGAAAAAAAUGUUGAAACAAUAAGUAUUCGCACAACUGUUUAAAAGUAAUUUCCUGGAAAUUUGAUGUUUUCUAAUUCGCACGGAGCAAUAAACUAAUGUGUUUACGUUGCAAACUCUACUGUAAAUGAUUCGACAUAAGAAUCGUGCAAAUACUUAUUACU